UUCAUAUUAGGGUAUAAAAUCUUGCGUUCACUCCGAAGAGGAAUAUCCUGUAUCUCUCCGAGUCGUGAUUCACUUGUCUCCCCUGGGAGUUCACAAUCCCACAGUCUCAUCCCUCCUUGGAAAUUUGGGCCGGCGGCUGCAGAGAAAUUAAGUCCGAUCACGGCACCCUAUUGAAAGUGCAGAGCUGUGCUGAAGUUUUAUUGAUGUGUUAUGGACAGACGAACACAACACCUGCCUGCCUGCGAACAGGAGUGCUUGACAGACAAGAGCUCCAAGGGUGACUGGUUGCUGUGCAACACUGCUCUGCUUUCCAUCAGCUCGUGAGAACUGAAAGACCGGGGCCAACACUGACACUCCUGGAUCGGCUCCUCACCAGCGGCCUGUGCUGUCUUCUCACCUGCAUUCCCCUUGAGAGCAAAGCCAGACCCAGCCAGCAGGGGGCACUUGUGAGUCUGAAUUUUUCACCUGCUAGGUGAGGUCCUGACACUGUGUCAUAGCGUCACUGUGAAUUUUACCCUCCCUAGCAGAGUGCAACACCAUCGGUGAGUCUCCCGGCAAAAAUCAUCAAUGACAAUUACCUGAGGCCGGCUAGAGAUUUGACGUUGGUGAGGGAUGUGGCUGAGCGCUGGGGGCAGGAGCUCCAGAUAUCUCUGCAGGGAGGGGAUGAUUGGUAGUCAGUAGCCAAUUGAUCCCAGGAUCCCAUCCAGCUGUGUCUA
rnacentral:lncRNA from 1 species